CUAUACGCAAAGACAUCCUAAAAUAGGAACCAUACAGAGUAGAUUAGCAUGGCCCCUGCGCAAGGAUGACACGGAAAAUCGUGAAGCGUUCCACAUUAUA
rnacentral:snRNA from 1 species